rnacentral:rRNA from 1 species
GUUUGAUCCUGGCUCAGAACGAACGCUGGCGGCAGGCUUAACACAUGCAAGUCGAGCGCCCCUCACGGGGAGCGGCAGACGGGUGAGUAACGCGUGGGAAUCUACCCAUCUCUACGGAAUAACUCAGGGAAACUUGUGCUAAUACCGUAUACGCCCUUCGGGGGAAAGAUUUAUCGGAGAUGGAUGAGCCCGCGUUGGAUUAGCUAGUUGGUGGGGUAAAGGCCUACCAAGGCGACGAUCCAUAGCUGGUCUGAGAGGAUGAUCAGCCACAUUGGGACUGAGACACGGCCCAAACUCCUACGGGAGGCAGCAGUGGGGAAUAUUGGACAAUGGGCGCAAGCCUGACGACGCAACGCCGCGUGGAGGAUGAAGACCUUCGGGUCGUAAACUCCUUUCGAUCGAGACGAAUGGUUUCCGGGUGAACAAUCCGGGAAAAUGACGGUACCGAGAGAAGAAGCCCCGGCUAACUCCGUGCCAGCAGCCGCGGUAA